rnacentral:rRNA from 1 species
CUCGACCGUGGAGGGUCAUUGGAAACUGGAGGACUUGAGUGCAGAAGAGGAGAGCGGAAUUCCACGUGUAGCGGUGAAAUGCGUAGAUAUGUGGAGGAACACCAGUGGCGAAGGCGGCUCUCUGGUCUGUAACUGACGCUGAGGCGCGAAAGCGUGGGGAGCGAACAGGAUUAGAUACCCUGGUAGUCCACGCCGUAAACGAUGAGUGCUAAGUGUCAGGGGGUUUCCGCCCCUUGGUGCUGAAGUUAACGCAUUAAGCACUCCGCCUGGGGAGUACGACCGCAAGGUUGAAACUCAAAGGAAUUGACGGGGGCCCGCACAAGCGGUGGAGCAUGUGGUUUAAUUCGAAGCAACGCGAAGAACCUUACCAGGUCUUGACAUCCUCUGACAAUCCUGGAGACAGGACUUUCCCUUCGGGGACAG